rnacentral:rRNA from 1 species
UAGUAAAAGUUAUAGUCUCGAAAAUUAAAGAAGUUGGCGGUAUCUUAGUCUAUUCAGAGGAAUCUGCCCUGUAAUUGAUGAUCCACGAUUUUUUUUACUUAUUUUAAUUAGUUUGUAUAUCGUCGUAGAUUGAAUAUUUUUAAAAAAGAAUAAUGUUCAAUAAUUUUUUAAGAAAAGAAUUCAGAUCAAGGUAUAGCCUAUAGAUAAGUAGAGGUGGAUUACAAUAAAUUUAUUUAUUAUGGAUUAAUAAAUGAAAAUUUAUUAUGAAGGAGGAUUUGAGGGUAAU